UACGUAGGGUGCAAGCGUUAAUCGGAAUUCCUGGGCGUAAAGCGUGCGCAGGCGGUUCUAUAAGACAGAUGUGAAAUCCCCGGGCUCAACCUGGGAACUGCAUUUGUGACUGUAGAGCUGGAGUACGGCAGAGGGGGAUGGAAUUCCGCGUGUAGCAGUGAAAUGCGUAGAUAUGCGGAGGAACACCGAUGGCGAAGGCAAUCCCCUGGGCCUGUACUGACGCUCAUGCACGAAAGCGUGGGGAGCAAACAGG
rnacentral:rRNA from 1 species